CAGUAGCCGCGGGAAUACAGAGGGUGCGAGCGUUAAUCGGAUUUACUGGGCGUAAAGCGUGCGUAGGCGGCUUUUUAAGUCGGAUGUGAAAUCCCUGAGCUUAACUUAGGAAUUGCAUUCGAUACUGGGAAGCUAGAGUAUGGGAGAGGAUGGUAGAAUUCCAGGUGUAGCGGUGAAAUGCGUAGAGAUCUGGAGGAAUACCGAUGGCGAAGGCAGCUAUCUGGCCUAAUACUGACGCUGAGGUACGAAAGCAUGGGGAGCAAACAGGAUUAGAUACCCCCGUAGUCCCUGUCUCUUAUAC
rnacentral:rRNA from 1 species